GGCUCCAUGGUCAAGCGGUUAAGACAUCGCCCUUUCACGGCGGUAUCGGGGGUUCGAUUCCCCCUGGAGUCA
rnacentral:tRNA from 1 species